rnacentral:rRNA from 1 species
CCGAGAGGCGUAGGCGAUGGACAACGGGUUGAUAUUCCCGUACCGGCGAAAUGACGCCCAUGAUGAGGCGCAUGAUGCUAACCAUCUGAAGCGCACGUGACCGAUCCCUUCGGGGUGAGGCGUGUGUGUGGAACAUGGGACCCAAGUGUGUAGUAGUCAAGUGAUGGGGUGACGCAGGAAGGUAGUCGAACCGGCGCGAUGGUUGUCGCCGGCCAAGCAUGUAGGACUGAGUCUAGGCAAAUCCGGGCUCUGUAUGUCUGAGAUGUGAUGGGGAGCCGUUUGGUGAAGUCGAUGAUCCUAUGCUGUCGAGAAAAACCUCUAGCGAGUCAUGAGCCGCCCGUACCCCAAACCGACACAGG